rnacentral:lncRNA from 1 species
UGACACCUUCACGGCGACUCUGACAUUCUACAGUGAAUUGACAAUUCUCCAAUUGUCCGCGUCAUUAAUGACGGUGCCAUACCGUGCUCCACUAUAUAUAUCGGGGAAGGCAACAGUGCUAGGGGCCUUCCAAGAAAAACUCUCAGGCUUGCUCCCUUUCUCUCUCUCAAUUGGGCUCUCUGUCUUCAUUUCACUGUUGCCCAGUCUCCUCUCUGACUUGACCGUCGGAGGGUCCCCGCCGGAGCCGCCUCCGAUCAGUGUGGACUUUCUUUUGCAGGCACUCGUUCCCGGCGACCAGGCGACGAGGGGAUUGGCCCCAACAGAUUGGCGCGCCAGGUAGGGGA